UGUUAUGUUUGCGAUCUCUGCCUUGGUACCUAAGGAGGAAGAGGAGGAGGAGGAGGGUGUGUUACUGAAUGGUGGCUAAAGCCUCCUCGGGACGGCGCUGAGGUGAAACAGGCUGAACCCGACUGAUGUGGCUCCUCUCUCGGUUGGACCCAGUGCCCUAAGCAGCCGAUGAGAGACCCCCGGCCGCCCGGCUCGCAGGUAUCUUUUUAGUGCUGAAAUGGACACACUAAUUGUGAACCAUGUGGUAAGGAGCUCCUUCUAAAACAUGCAGUAGCAUAUUUACCGGAAUUUAACAGGCUGUGUACUUUAAAGCUUCUCUUGCCUGUAAUCAUGUGAAAAAACCUUGCAAGUCACAUUACCAGCUCGAGAUCCAGCACAGCACAUCACAGCAGCAUUGAAACAGCCCCUGCCACUAGGCAAGGGACAGAAAGGAGAUGGUGACCUGCAACAGGAUGAGAGACCUUGCCUACCAGGAUUUGCUCACGGUUAUGCUUCUGGCAACUAACAUUUCCAUUUUACUCAAAGCUUCUACAUCUGUGUCAUCAGAAAAAGCCCCAUGAGUGGUGGCAGAGCAAACUGUAGCCUUCAUUUUCAAGUUCGAAAAGAAAAAAUUAUUUACAUGUCUAAAUCCUGGAACCGGCUGUUCAGAGGUCACUCUUUGUUGCCCACUGCUAUAAACCAUUAAGGCUUCCGAAAGCUGUGAAAGAAAUGGGACAUAGUCUAGGGCAGAAAAGUCUUAUUGUUUUAAAUUUGUUUAAAUUCUAUUUCAUUGUAUUAUAUGAUUUUUUUCCUACCAGAGGAACAUGGAAGAUGGGAUGUUUCUGUCGUUGCUUACAAUGAAUGACUACAUAAAAUGUCUGUCAGAGCUUGCAGGACACAUCUUUGACCCUUCUUAAGAUUGUUUUAAACUGAAGGAGAUUAUCUUUUAAUUCAUUAUGACCACAGACUAUUUAUUAAGGAAAAUUAUUGAUUCAUGCAAUGAAUUUUACUGUUUUAUCACCCUUCCAACUCAGUAUUUAUUUAUCUUUUUGGAUACAAAUGUAAGUAAAUGUUUAACUAUGUGUUU